GAUAUCCUAUUUGAACUUGGUAUAUCACAUUUAUUUGUUGUUUGUUUGUUUAUGCCACAGAUUGCACAAAAGUGACUCUGGUACCCAAAGUCCAAUUUAAGGAACCUCUCUACAUUGUGAAUGAAAAAGAUGGUCAGCUGGAAGCUAUAAUUUCAUGAAGUGGAGAUGUUAAUCAUAAAUUACUGUCCGCUGCUACACUCGCCAAGGCUCUGCCCAGGUUAUGAUGGACUAUGAGGAGAGACCAAACACAGAUGACUCAAUAAUAACAUUCCUACCAGAUGUUCAUUGCGUGGAGACUUCUCAGGCUGUACUAUGAAAUAUGAAGCAAGGAGCAGGGAAAAUGGCAGGUAAACAUCCUAAACAAAAUGCCACCUACACCAAUGUAUGUUUCAGCCAGCCCUGAAGCCAAGAAAAAAAAAAAGGAACUGUUUUUCUAGAGGUGGCCAAAAACUGGAAUUCCCCCCCUGCCCAAUAAUACCUCAGAAACUCAGCUUUGCAGUCUGCAUUGUGUGAUGCCCAGGGGAGCUUAUGUCCUGCAGCAGACAAGCAACAUGAUCCUUGUGUUAUAUAGAAUUCAGUGUUCCCAGAGCCAAAUGCUGGCCAUAGUUUGCUUUUCAAUGAAAAGUAAGAAGGCAUGGAUCCCUCUCUGGGAGAAUCAUCUGAAAAGGCCUGGCCUAGAGUACUUACAUACUGUGCUUUCUAUGGCUUGCUUGAAUGAGUAAUAUGGCAGAAAGGAAAAGAUCCCAACACGGAGAAGCCCUAGCAGGAAAAAAAAUGGACAUCUAUCAUUAUUAUGAAAAAAAGAUGCAAUUCUCUAUCAUUAACUUAGGCAACAAAAAGUACUGUGACAUUCUGCCCAAUUUGGCUGUUAUUAUGAGUAGAUUUCCAUGCCUUAAUUUAAAACAUUUGACUCAUAAUAGGGCACUAACUACCCAAUAAUAGCAUUCAUAUGCAAAUAUAAAUGAAGGGUAGCAACACAAACACCUAUUUUUUUUUUCAGGGAAAUAUAUAUUUCCAGGAUAACAAAUUAAAAAUGAUUCCUUGGUAUUUUUUCCCCAAAUUUAAGUGUUCUACUCUUAAUAUAAUGCUGUGA